CCAAUGUCUGUUCUAAUACCAAUGAGUGUAAUAUUAACUCAUUGGCUUCGCUUUCAGACAAAAGUAACUCUUCAAAUUUAUCCUAAUGUGUCUGUACUACAUAACUUUCGCAUUGGCAUUUUGAAGAUACAUGC